GUGAAUCAUCAAAUCUUUGAACGCAAAUUGCACUCUCUGGCAUUCCGGAGAGUAUGCCUGUUUGAGGGUCAGUUUAAAUAAAAAUCGAGGUGUUGCUGUUUUGUGACCCACCGGAAUUGGGUUUUCUUGGACCUUUUAAAAAGUUAAAGUGACUUAAAUUUGAUACUUGUUGAAUCUCAGACGUACUAAAGAUU
rnacentral:misc_RNA from 1 species